UACGUAGGGUGCAAGCGUUAAUCGGAAUUACUGGGCGUAAAGCGUGCGCAGGCGGUUUUGUAAGUCAGAUGUGAAAUCCCCGGGCUUAACCUGGGAACUGCGUUUGAAACUACAAGGCUAGAGUGUGGCAGAGGGGGGUGGAAUUCCACGUGUAGCAGUGAAAUGCGUAGAGAUCGGGAGGAACAUCAGUUGCGAAGGCGGCUCUCUGGACCAGUACUGACGCUGAGGCACGAAAGCGUGGGGAGCAAACAGGG
rnacentral:rRNA from 1 species